AUGAUGCGAUGCUGCAUGGCAUUGCAUUAGAAAGAUUCAUCGGUGGCGGAUAGGCUCGCGGGACAUUAGCUAGACGGCGGGCAACGGCCCACCGUGGCGACGAUGUCGUAGGGUUCUGAGAGGAACGGCCCCCACACUGGGACUGAGACACGGCCCAGACUCCUACGGGAGGCAGCAGUGAGGAAUAUUGGUCAAUGGGCGGAAGCCUGAACCAGCCAUGCCGCGUGAAGGACUAAGGCCCUACGGGUCGUAAACUUCUUUAGACGCAGAGCAAUAAGGUCCACGCGUGGACCGAUGAGAGUAUGCGUAGAAUAAGCAUCGGCUAACUCCGUG
rnacentral:rRNA from 1 species